CGUUUGAUAACCAAGUUUUGACUGGUUUGUUAAAUUAACCCGCGUCUACCGGGUGUUUGCUAGUCACAUUUAAUUACCAACGGGGCCCGUUGCAAACCAAGGCCCGCUGGUAUUCAAACGUUAAUGCUCGGUAAUUAGACUGGUCAAAUUGGCCAGUUUAUUUUCUACCUACUGCUACAGUAUCUACAAAGUUAAAUAAGAUUUCAUUUUUACCCUUCUUUCUCCUGGGUUGCAGAUAUUUUCGAUGGAUUCCUCUUGUGCCUUGGCGGCAUAUGCUUUUGCGACGCCGGCUUUCUCGAGCGGGAUUUUCCGGCGGUCGGCUUAGCCACUUUCUUGUGCUUCUUGUUGAUGUGAGCGAGGCGGAGGCUGAGGCAGUUGGUGAGGAUGACUCUGCUUCAUCGGGUCUUGCCCCGAGCGGACGCCUCCAGCAACCGGUCGGCGGCGUCACGUGCAGCGUGGCCGGAAUCGGGGCUGCGGAGGUGGCGGAGGGCGUCGAUGAGCUUCGACGAAUAGAUGUGUUGCUCCUCUUGGGCGUCGACGUGAUUGACAAAUCAAAGGAAAUCUAAUUUCCAAUACAUCAAUCUCAAAUUUCACUCACACAAAGCCUUCACUACUGCCAACAAAGUAGAAGUAAACACACAAACACACCUCUCUCUCUCACACACACAUCAAAUAUUUCAAUUUCAAUGGUUUUCCUCUCUCUCUCUCUCUCUCUCUCCCUCUAGUUCAUUGUUGUUCGAGACUGCAGCUCGUAGCAGUCUGUGUUAUCCGAACACUUAUUUUUGGAGAAUUUGUGUAUGGAUAGCGAAAUUCUGAUCCGUCGAAGAAGCAAUUUAUGCUAAACCUAAGAGGAAAGUUCACUGGAUGGAUAACAAUGGAGAUAAGCUUGCAGAAAUCUUGGAGUUUCAACCGAGUGAUAUGAGCGACUCAGAAAAGGACGAGUCAGAUUCUUGCAUCUGUAGAAUAAUGUAGACCGGAUUCAUGAGAUCAUCCACUAGUAACAUUCUGGUGGAUAUGUGAGAUGUCAGUUUUCUUCUAGUGGAAAAUUGAUCUGCAGAACUUCCUUUUCAAUGGAUCGCAGUCAUAUAACUAAAAUGACAUCUCGCCUUUAGUCUAGCAGAAUUUUCUUGAAGCAUACAAGUAGCCAAAGGAAGACAUCGGAAAUGGUUUCGGGAUUCUCAUGACUAUCAAUAUAUCAUCUGAGUUUUCUCUUUUUACUGGGUAGCAUAUAAAGAUUAGUUUAGUGUGUGCAUUCUAUUCUAAGAAACAUGUAAUUGCUUGUGAUUGUUAUAUAGUAUAGGAGCUUUCAUUUGCUUCCUGUUUCCCACCUCUGUACAAAGUGACAAUUUUGUGUAUCAAGUUGAUUUCUUUGAGCAAUAUAUGUUUGGAUUUUCCUCA